CCCUUACCAGGUUGUUCUAGCUGGCGAGGCUCUAGUGUGCGGCUUGGGGCGGUCUCGAGGCGCACAGGAAGUUGCAAAAUUAAUACAGAGAAGUUCCGUAUACCCAUCACCCACCCAUCCUCUCUCAACAUCUUACAUAAGAUACAUCAUUAUCAAAACCAGGAAAUUGAUAUUGCAGUAAGUUGGCCGGAACUCCUGACCCCACCUACUCUUCCUUAAAGUAAGAAUUAACGUGCUGUACCUGGGAUCAGGUGAGCUUCGUAGGUUUGGGCAAUGGCUGCUGGGAGAGCCUCCCACUGUGCACAGAAGAGCCUGCUUUUCAAUUUUACCCGACUACUUGUCUAUACCAAGCAAGAAUAUGCUGAUCUCCUUGCAUGAACCCAAGAGAUGAAAUUUUGUCAAGGCUCCAAAAAUUACAGCCCUAGAAAGAUCACUCAGUUCAUUCUGGUGAAGGUGGUGGAUGCUUCAUAUAGAUUUCAAGUUGAUGUGGCCAUGGCACUCAACAUGUCAACUGUCAGUGAUAUCAGCCACAUCACCUUCAAGAUCUGGGCCCAGGAGUGGGGACAGCAGUUUCUUCAUCAGACUAAAUCGUCAAUGUGAUUUUAGGCCUUGUUCUUGCAUCCUUUUAACACUGCGCCUGGCUCUUGGGUUGCUCAUGGAAUUUGGUACACAACCCUGUAUCCUUUAUUUUUUCCCUUUUCAGUUUCUUCCUUUAUUAAAAAAAAAAAAUCAGUACUGGAAAUGGAAGCAAGGGGUACUCCACCACUGAACUAUUCCCUCCCCUUUUUAUUUUUUAGAUGGUCUCUCUAAGUUGCCUAGCAUGCCCACUAACUUGUUGUCCUGCCUCAGCCCUCUGAGUAGCUGGGAUUAUAGGCAUGCACCUGGCUUCAAUAUCUUUGUUUGAAAGUCCUUUUCUGCAUAAAUUGGUCAGAGUUAGUUUGUAUAAUUUGCACUUAAUAACUCUAACCAAUGCAAUAGUCUCUUGUUAUCCUUGUCCAAGGACUUCUGAAUAUAAAAAUGUAUAACAUUGCUGUAAUUUUAUUCAUUGUAUAGGUUAUGUGGUAAAGUCACUGGCACUUCAUGACAUCAUUUUAAUCAUGAGGAGUUAAAGCCAUAGACCCAAAAGACUAUGGAUAGAAUCUUACCACUUUAAAUUUGCUGCAAAGGUCAGGUACAGUGGCCAAACCUUUAACUCAGGAGGCUGAAGCAGGAGGAUAGCAAGUUUGAGGCCAGUCUAGGUAACAUAAUAAGACCCUGCCUCAAAAUAAGAAAUAAAAAGGAAUGGAGAUGUAGCUCACUGGUAGAGCACCCCUGGACCAAUCCCCAAUAGUACAAUCAACUGAUCAAUAUAAUUGCCACAAAAGAGGUGAAGAUGUAGUUCAGUGGUAGAGCACUGGCUAGCAUGUAUAAGGCCCUGAGUUGAAUCCCUAGUACUACAAAACAAAAGUCUGAUGCAUUCACACAUGCCUGUAAC